GACGUAGGUGGCGAACGUUAUCCGGAAUUAUUGGGCGUAAAGGGUGCGUAGGUGGCCUGACAAGUUAUCAGUGGCAAAUCGAGGCUCAACCUCGUGGAAACUGGUAAUACUGUUCGGCUUGAGUACAGGAGAGGUUAACGGAACUCUAUGUGGAGCGGUAAAAUGCACAGAUAUAUAGAAGAACAUCAAUAAAAGGCGAAGGCAGUUUAACUAUUCUGUUACUGACACUGAGGCACGAAAGCGUGGGGAGCAAAACGG
rnacentral:rRNA from 1 species